AAAAACAGUAACCCCUUCAUUUGCGUAAACAAAGGGCUUUCACAUGUAUUAGCCUGUUAGUUCAUCACAUCUAUUCAGAGUAGGAAAAGGCAGGAACCCAAACGUGCCUUGAAGCUGCCAUCUAAGAAGACACUCCUUCCUGGGCCUCAGCACUGCGCCAGUGCUGCAGCGGACGGUGGUACCUGUCACCCCACUCUAUGGAGCUGUAGUCAUGGGCACAGAAGAGUAAGAUGAAGAGCCCCUCCCUCAUACCACACUAGCUAGAACCUGAUCGCAAGAGGUGGGCACAGUGGGUGCCCACCCAAAUGAUGAGUUGCACUUCUCUCCAGGCUUCUAUUUACAGGAGACUAGGAUAGAAAGAGGAGAGAGGCAAGUAGAGUAACCACAACAGUGGACCAAGCAGAUAAGCUCCCUUCAUUGGCCUCCUUUUACGGACUACUUCAAAUCCUCUCAAACUUGCUUCUUAUUCCUGCAUUGCCAUCGCAACCAGUUCCAUGAAGAAUUUAACCAGCUUCACACAAGUGCAAACUGACAGGCCCACUCACCCCUAGACUCCUCUGUUGCUGUUUCAUGUGUCGCCCAUGGGAACCUGGCAGUCAUACAUGUGCAAUCCAGAAGUGGGGCCGCCUUUAUUCAAUGGGAGACAAGAAACAUGGAUAAAAGCUUCUCCCUUUUUUUCUCUACAUAAACUGUGCUGAGUGCAUUUCAUAAAACUUCUCAGAUAAUCUCUUGGAAUAAAGCAACCAGCUGCCUAUAGCAAUGAUGCUCCAAUAUUGGUUCCUUGUAUUACCAUUGCCUCCUUCCCUAGAUGACUGUCUCUGGUCUUUCACCCCUGCUCCCUGGAUGCCAUUCCCAAUUAAACCACCUGGCACAAAUCUCUGCACAAGACACCACCUAUCAUCAUAGGGUGGGUCCAGGCUCCUUAUCUUAGGAGAAAUGGCCCUCUGAAACAAGGCCUCCACCUGCCAUUCCUGCUUAAUUUCCUAGCACAUCACACCCAGUCACAAAGAACACACAUACUCUUACCCAUUUCUUGUGUUUUACUCAUGCUAUUCCCUCUGCUUAGAAUUCUUCCCAAAAGGGUGUUCAGAGAGUUCUAAAACUUUGUAAUUUAGUACAACCUCAAUAUUACAAAGGAGAAAAUUGAGGCCCAGAAUGGAAAGGUCUGGCCCAAGGUUUUCAAUAGUUAAUUUAGAUAGAGCUAAACACUGUGCUACUUUUUAUGGGCUUCUGCUUCUAGUCCCUAAAGUGUCCAUGAAUAUCUCUAUUCUAGUUUUGAGAGUCUACUGAAUUAAAUGUGUUUCCUCUUUCUACUUCCUAGGAUAUAUGGACUUCCAUUUCCCUUUAAACUAUUGCUCUUUAUUGUCUGAGACAUUGGUCUCUCCCAAAAGAACAGAUAGUAAUUUACUCUUACCCAAUGAUUCAAUCCAGUUCCCCAAACAUUUGCUGUCCACUUUUUGUAAGUAUUUACGAUGAGUGCAGUGAAGAAGACGAAAAUGAGUAAGAUAUGUCCCUUACCCAAAAGGAGUUUAUGAUCCAGUGGGAAAGACAGAGUUGUGUAUAAAUAUCUCCAUAUAUGGUGUGAUUAUUAUGAUGUAAGAAAUAGCCAAAGAGAUGUUUAAAUUACCUGCUGUACUUGUUUAAAAUAUAUACAUAGAGCACAUAUCAAAAAAAGGUUGAUAUUCAUAGUUUAUAAAAUGGGAGGAAGAGUAAGUCAACAUACUAAGAAAACCAUAGCAAAAUGAAGAGCUGAGAAAGAAGACUAUUUGCAGAUGUAACUAUUUCAGAGCUAAUGAUUGUCAUGGAUCAACUAAUCAACAAAUAUACGAAUGCCUGUUAUACAUAAGCCAUUAACUUUUUGUACUACUGUGUUCUAUCAUAUUUCAGACAACCAAAAACCCUCAAACCCUUAAUUACAAUUACAAAGAAACCUUUAAGAGUAUCUAGUCCACUCCUCUCCUGAAGAAACCAAGGCCCAGGAGGUUCUUUUUCUUAUCCAUUAUUUCUUCUGAGAGAUCCAGCCAUUACCAACACUCUUCACCAACAAUUCAGACUUUGAAUCCUCACUCUCCCUUGACUCUUCCCUCUCUCUCAUUUUCAGGAACCAAUCAACUACCAAAUCUGUGGCUUCUGCUACAGAUGCAUCACAUGACUGUAUCCCUCCCAUCUUCAUGCUCUUCUUCAGCCUAUCCUUGCUUCUGGAUGGGGCUGCCUCAAUAAUUCCUGAUUCUCCCAAAAUCACUCUUUCUCUUCCUGCACCAUCCGUCGCAAUGCCAGAGCUGCCCUUCUUAAGCAUAGCUCUGAUCAUGCUUUUCCUUUGCUGCCAAACUCCAAAAACCAAGAACAUGUUAGUUUAACUUUCCAGCUCUCUCAUUCUUAAUUCCACCUGUUCAUGGUUGUUCCUCCCCUCACAUCACCCUUACUCUCCACCUGUGCUAGGCUAUACUCCCACUCCCAUAUACAUUCUGCACUCUCCCUCCCAACAGUAGAGUGUCAUCUCCAAAAUGCCCUACCUGCCAAGGCUUCGAAAUCCUGCUUAACCUUUCUGCUUCCAUAUGGCUUCUCCGAUCUGUAGUUGUUCACUCAUCUAUUGCCCCACCUCUCCACACCCUGUUUCCCAUUGCAUGUUACUUGUACUUAUUUCACAGCAUUUAAUCUUUGAAUUGUGUUUACUGAUGUGUCAGCUAAACCAUUAGAUCAGUGACUCUCAAAUUGUAGUCCCCAAACCAGCAGCAUCAGCAUUAUCUCGGAGCUUGUUAGAAUUGCAAAUUCUCUGCCCAGCCCAGACCUACUGAAUCAGAAACUCUAGGGUGAGGCCCAGCCCUCUGUGUUCUCCUGAGCCCUCCAGGGAUUCUGGUGCACAGUAGAGUGUGAGAACCACUGCACUAGACCAUGAAUCCCCAGAGGGCAGUUGCUCCCAGGAUAAUUUCAGAGGCAAACUUAGAAGGUUGUCUUUAAAAAAAAAAUACUAUAGCAUAUUAUGGACAUUUUUCUUCUGAAUACAUAUUUUUAAGUAAGCAGCUUUUGACCAAAAUAUAUGCAAAUAUCCUAAUAAUAUGAAAAAAGCUGGCAUGUAUUAAUGUGAAUGAAGUUUUCAAAUUUCUCACUUGUUUAUUUUGGGCCUCUUAUUUAAAACUGACUGAAGUUGGCUAAAUUCUUUGAGGGUUAAUUUUUUUUUCCCUCAAUCUUUAGAAUUUUUUAGAGACUUAUUACUCCCUAAGUGCCAUUUUUCCUUGUAAGUUUCACGAUGGCUGUCCUGUGAGGAUAAUUUUCAAACUCAUUUUCCAUUUUUCUAUGACUCAUCUGUGAAACAAUAGAUAACAGUUAAGUGUCACUGACCCUUAAAAUGUGAAACCUAAAGAAACAUUAAAGGGAAGGAAAAAAUUCUCAGGCCACUGAAUCCAGGUAACACCGCUACUUAAGUAAGAUUGUCCUAUUAUAUAACCAGCAAUGGCAGGAAAGUGAGUCGGACAGGAUCAAAGUAGACUGAUUAAAAUGCUGUGGGAUACAGAACUAAAUGAUAAGGGAGUGCUCAGUGAAUUACAAUCACUUACACAUUCUCUACUAAAGGAAUUCUAAACCAUUUUUGCAUCACAGAGCAAAGGGUCUAGAGACCUUUCUAGGCUGGGGCUAUGAUACCUCCCUUGCUUCACAUCAACUCUCCUACUCAUCGAACAUAUGACCAAUUUUAAAUUAUGGUCAAAUUUUACAGACUCCUUGAGUCCUUGGCCCUAGGAAAUCAGGCGUAAGGAAACUGUUGCUGUACAGAAGUCAUCAUAUUAAGUGCUAUGACUUAGAGAAUAUCAAGUAAAUUGAGAAAUAAAUUCUAGGUGAAAUCAGGUGACAGUGUCAAUAAUGGUCACUAGCAUGAGAAAGAGAGAAAGACUGAGAAUUGAAUUUUUGUUUUGAAUUUUUGGAUCUUGCUUUGGUUGUGUUAAAAUAAUUCUAAUCAAUUAUGUGAAGUGCUUAUUAUGUAUGCUUAACUUGUGCUUAAUUACAACAAUGUCUUCUCAACAUGUUCCAAAUUAAUAUUGUUAUCCUUUAUUUGAUUGCAACAGAAAACUCUUCAGGUCUGUCUAGCCAGGUCCCAAGGCCCAGCUCUGGACAUAUUACCUGACCGUCCUGAGAGCUAAGCCACACACAGGCCCAAAAGAACUUGGCCAUUAGAGAGUCAGCCAUGCUGGGAUGGGCCUCACACUCUUUUUUAGGAGGACUGUGUCCUCAGUCAGGCAUCGGAGCACAAAGGUUUCAUGGGUAGCCUACCGCACACUAAGCCACUAACCAACACCUGAUUUGGGGGCAUCAUUCUGGUCCCUUCGACCAGAUUAUCUGGUCUCUGAGCAUAAUUGUCUGCCCACAACUUUCAUUUAAAAAGAGGGACUCAGGCCAGGCGCGGUGGCUCAUGCCUGUAAUCCCAGCACUUCG
rnacentral:lncRNA from 1 species